UCGGGAAUUUUGGGCAAUGGGCGAAAGCCUGACCCAGCAACGCCGCGUGAAGGAUGAAGUAUUUCGGUAUGUAAACUUCGAAAGAAUAGGAAGAAUAAAUGACGGUACUAUUUAUAAGGUCCGGCUAACUACGUGCCAGCAGCCGCGGUAAUACGUAGGGACCAAGCGUUGUUCGGAUUUACUGGGCGUAAAGGGCGCGUAGGCGGCAAUUCAAGUCAUCUGUGAAAUCUCCGGGCUUAACUCGGAACGGUCAGAUGAUACUGCUUUGCUAGAGUGCAGAAGGGGCAAUCGGAAUUCUUGGUGUAGCGGUGAAAUGCGUAGAUAUCAAGAGGAACACCUGAGGUGAAGACGGGUUGCUGGGCUGACACUGACGCUGAGGCGCGAAAGCGUGGGGAGCAAACAGGAUUAGAUACCCUGGUAGUCCCUGAGCGGGCUGGCAAGGC
rnacentral:rRNA from 1 species